AUGAGUGCCAAGAGUGUGGGAAAAGACUCCCUGGGAAGGGUGACCUCACCAUGUACACCCACACACUCUGAAGGAAGACCUCAUGAAUGCCGUGAGUGUGGCAAAAAGUUCAGUAGGAAGAGUGCCCUCAACACACACACCCUUACACACUCUGAAGGAAGACCUCAUGAAUGCCGUGAGUGUGGCAAAAAGUUCAGUAGGAAGAGGGACCUCAACACACACACCCUGACACACUCUGAAGGAAGACCUCAUGAAUGCCGUGAGUGUGGCAAAAAGUUCAGUAGGAAGAGGGACCUCAACACACACACCCUUACACACACUGGUGAAAGACCUCAUGAAUCCCGUGAGUGUGGCAAAAAGUUCACUCAGAAGAGUAACCUCAAGAAACACACCCUCAAACACACUGGUGAAAGACCUCAUGAAUGCCAAGAGUGUGGUAAAAAGUUCAGUUAUAAGAGUAACCUCAACAUACACACACUCACACACACUGGUGAAAGACCUCAUGAAUGCCGUGAGUGUGGUAAAAAGUUUAGAAAUAAGAGGAACCUCAACACACACACCCUGACACACACUGGUGAAAGACCUCAUGAAUGCCGUGAGUGUGGCAAAAAGUUCACUCAGAAGAGUGACCUCAACAAACACACCCUCACACACACUGGUGAAAGACCUCAUGAAUGCCGUGAGUGUGGCAAAAAGUUCACUCAGAAGAGUAACCUCAACACACACACCCUCACACACACUGCUGAAAGACCUCAUGAAUGCCAAGAGUGUGGCAAGAGGUUCAGUUCUAUGUCUUAUCUCAAUGUGCACAUCUUCAGACACUCUGGCCUGAGAGAGUUCAAGUGUGAUGUUUGUGGGAAGCAUUUCAAGGUGAAGGCAGAUAUUACCCACCACAUGAAGAUCCACUUCCCCUGAGGUGCUGUGUGUGGUGGUGGAGGUCGGCGGGUCGCAGCCACGUCCUGGUUCUGCUGACGGGUCAUCUUCCUCGAUGCAUCAGCAUAAGAAUGUACAGUCGCGAUAUGAAGUGAUGUGGCCGCUCUCAGAAUGUUUCGUACAGGAGCAUUUGAAGGUUUCCGAGGCUGGAGGGAGUCCUUGGAGCCCGGCGCUGCUGCAGGCACUCCCCCGGUCAGGCGGCGCCCCUGGACAGCCCAAGGUGGAGGUGCCGGGAGGCCAGCCAUGCAGGGUGAGAAGAUCCAUGGGGACCAGAGACUGCAGGAACACCCCGGAUGUCCUGCACCCCAUGGCGGGGAGUCUGGGAUGACCUGCAGACAAGACAACACGUGAGGAAGGACCACAGGAGCUGGCAGCAGUGGAGGAUCCUGAGGUGCAUCACUGAGGGCAGGGACAGCGGGCAGCACACCAGUCGGACCACCAAUGGCCUGUAGGGGCACUGUACCGGGGCCACGCUGCCACACAGCCGGGAUAAGUGUAGCAGGGGGCAGGUGUCUGGGGGGUUGUCAACAUACUGUGGGGGACAUACUGUGGGCUGUGGCGAGGUCGGUCGGUCUCUCUCUCUCUCUCUCUCUCUCUCUCUCUCUCUCUCUCUCUCUCUCUCUCAAUACAUCACUGGAUUGAAGAGGCUGCCAGCAUUGCCCUUUGAAGUCAGUCAGUCAGUCUCUCUCUCUCUCUCUCUCUCUCUCUCUCUCUCUCUCUCUCUCUCUCUCUCUCUCUCUCUCUCUCUCUCUCUCUCAA